UAAUUGUAUGUAACCGAUUGGACCUUAAAAAACUAUAUGAAUGUGGAUUCCGUAAUUUCCUCGGAGUCUCCAUGCCAGUGUAAUGGUAUUUCCCGCGGUUAUUUUUGUACAAUAAAAUACGGUAUAACUACAAUUUUGCAAAGUCUCAAUCAGUUUUCCAAGCAAGUCAAUACAUGCAAUAACAAAAAAAAUUUGGGACAAGACAAUGUUUAAAAAACGUGAUCAAAGAAAAGAAAAGAAAAUGUACUUGUAAUCAACACUGGAGAAAAAUGGACUCUUCAGAAGAAAUUGUCACAUGGAAAUGUCUUGGGCAGAUUAAAAAGAAGAAGUAACUGUGCCAGGAAGCAGUUCCAGUCAUUUGCAGCAACAGGACUGUGAUGAAUAGAACUUUAAUAUGAAUUGAAUCAAAAUAUAGAAUUUAACAAAUUUGUGUCAGAUGAUAUACUCUUAUGAUGCUAUUGAAGGACAUCAAUGAUGAGAAAGAAGUAAAGGAAAAGACAAUAAAUGACAGCAUAUCAAAUAUCACAAUGUAUAUUAAGUCAGUUAAUACAUUGUUUCAACUACAUACUUUACAGCAUUUCAUUUUAACCAUGUGUGAAUUUUGUCUAUUCAAACUUAACCAAAUGCUUUAAAAUUAAGAUAUUAAAUAUUUUAGGCAGA